rnacentral:rRNA from 1 species
GAGAGUUUGAUCCUGGCUCAGCCACCAUGCAAGUCGAACGAAAGCUUCGGGCUUAGUGGCGCACGGGUGCGUAACGCGUGGGAAUCUGCCUCUUGCUUCGGAAUAACAGUUAGGAAUGACUGCUAAUACCG